AAGUCGUAACAAGGUAUCCGUAGGUGAACCUGCGGAUGGAUCAUUAAAACCAAAAACAGCUAACGUGCUUCAAACACACGUUACUAACCCCAAACUUGUGCACCCAUUUCACAACACUUGGCGAGUGAUAGUUGUUGACCGGGGUCGAGCCGCGUUUCCCCUCGUGGGAGAGCGUGUGCUGGGUCUUCAUUGGUGAGAAGAAGGCCUCACGACUUGUCACAGCUGCGACUCACUUGCUCAAAUGUUUUUUCUUUAAUUCUCGCCACUUUUUUUUAACCCAUUGAACUAAUUUAUUCUUUCUUUAGUUGUACUAAACGUUUUCGAACACUGUUUGAACACGACUUCACUGUCGUUCCAAACUGGAAUAAGAAACGCAAGAACAACUCUUAGCAACGGAUAUCUAGGUUCUC
rnacentral:misc_RNA from 1 species